CCAAUUUCUGGUCUCUCCAUUUUUCUCUCCAUUUUGUAUUGUGUUUGUUGUCUUUUUUUCUUUUUUUAGUUUUCAACGAUUUAAAAUUCGAGCAAGGAAGGCUGACGGCUCAUGGGCAAGAACAGCAAUGGACAGAGUGGAGGCUUUUACGACGAACCUGGAAGAAAGAUUCACACCAUUCUGGACGACAUCUAGUUGAAGAGCAAUGAUGGUCACUGAGAGGCUGAAUGAGACCCACCAGAUGGAGCUCCCUGUGGCGCCAAUUACUUUUCAAGAAAUCUUGGAAGACAUAAAGAAACUCAAGUCCAAGAAGGCCCCUGGCGACGAUAGGAUUGACAAUGUUGUGGCAUAGGCGCUACCAAACAGAGCCAUUCUGUAUCUGUUGCUAAUCUUUAACGCGUCGCUAAGAUUAGUAUACUCUUCCAAAGCCUUGAGAUGUGCCCACAUAAUCAUGUUGCCAAAGCCAGGAAAGCCACCGGAAGACCUCAACAAACAUAGACCAAUUAGUCUCUUGUCAACUUUUGGCAAAAUGUUUGAGCGCUGCAUCCUACGAAGGGUACUGGAGUCGCCGCCGGUUAAAACAGCCAUGCCAAACUAUUAAUUUGGGUUCAGGCUUCAGCACAGCACAGCUCCAAAAGUAAUAGCAAACAACAAAUUGUAUUUUAAUAUUAUUAUUUUAUAAUCAAAUACAAUACAUAUGUAUGUAUCAUCAUCAUAACUAUCGCAUAGAAACGUGCGGCUUAGGAACAUCAAAAUGGAUGGUGGACUAAGUGGGAAAUUUUCGGAACGG